GAUGAAGAACGCAGCGAAAUGCGAUACUUGGUGUGAAUUGCAGAAUCCCGUGAACCAUCGAGUCUUUGAACGCAAGUUGCGCCCGAAGCCAUUAGGCCGAGGGCACGCCUGCCUGGGCGUCACACGUCGUUGCCCCCCCAUCUACUCCUUCGGGAUUGCGGGGGGCGGAUGAUGGCCUCUCGUGCGCCUCGUCGCGCGGUUGGCCUAAAUGCCAAGACCUCGGCGACGCACGCCACGACAAUCUGUGGUUGCGAAACCUCGGUUGCCUGUCGUGUGCGGUCGUCGCGCAUCGAGGGCUCGAAAAAAUUGCCGGGCUUCGGCUCGACUUUCAACGCGACCCCAGGUCAGGCGGGGUUACCCGCUGAAUUUAAGCAUAUCAAUAAGCGGAGGA
rnacentral:misc_RNA from 1 species